rnacentral:rRNA from 1 species
GACGAACGCUGGCGGCGUGCCUAAUACAUGCAAGUUGAGCGCUGAAGGUUGGUACUUGUACCAACUGGAUGAGCAGCGAACGGGUGAGUAACGCGUGGGGAAUCUGCCUUUGAGCGGGGGACAACAUUUGGAAACGAAUGCUAAUACCGCAUAAAAACUUUAAACACAAGUUUUAAGUUUGAAAGAUGCAAUUGCAUCACUCAAAGAUGAUCCCGCGUUGUAUUAGCUAGUUGGUGAGGUAAAGGCUCACCAAGGCGAUGAUACGUAGCCGACCUGAGAGGGUGAUCGGCCACAUUGGGACUGAGACACGGCCCAAACUCCUACGGGAGGCAGCAGUAGGGAAUCUUCGGCAAUAGACGAAAGUCUGACCGAGCAACGCCGCGUGAGUGAAGAAGGUUUUCGGAUCGUAAAACCCUGUUGGUAGAGAAGAACGUUGGUGAGAGUGGAAAGCUCAUCAAGUGACGGUAACUACCCAGAAAGGGACGGCUAACUACGUG